rnacentral:sRNA from 1 species
ACGAUUUUGCAGAAGAAAUGGCGGACUAACGAUUACGAACUCGCUUGCCGAAUGUUAACGUAGAAAAGGACUGAAAAUACAUAUAAUAACGAAUAGGUUUUUUUCAUGUUUCAUAUGUAGGAAUAGGAAAAGAACAGUACUGAGAAUUCAACAGUUGACAGUGAGAGUCCUUAACUUGUCUCAUCCUGGAAUUGGAUUCCUGUCUAUUGUACUAGAGGCUUUCAUCAGAUGUUUUUACACAGAAAUAUACAUUUCGAAUUGAUCUCAUAGACUUUCUGAGGAAAAAAUGUGCAUAGGAUCAAAAUACAGCACCUGAAGACCAAGCCAUACCAAUCACUGCAGUCUGUGACAUGAAAAGGAAUGAAGUUGGCAGGGCCUCCCGCACUGACCUUGGUAGCAGCUGAUGAUGGAACCAACAGCAGUUUACAUGAGCCGUUUCAUCAAAGAUGCACUGGAAGCUGCCGCACUUUCUUCAUCACUGGUGAAAUGGGAAAUGACAUGUGGACGGUCAUCACUUUGCAGCUUACUGAAGCAUUCCGCAGCUCAUCUCUUUUCAUCUCUAAUGGUGGUCUAUGAAGGAAUGGUUGCGUUGCAGUUUUAAUGUCCUGGGCAGGUCUGUUGAAUGUUGGUGGCUGAUGCUGGUUCAAUGUUUGCACCAAGAAGCAUUGCACGCAUACCCUCUGUCAUAAGGCCGGUACAUAAGUGACCGACAGCUAUGGCCAUAUUAAGCUGCACAUCCCCUUCCAGAUCAACUCACUUCCUCAUACAGCUUUUCGAGGUGACUGAUGUAGUAACACUUCUUACAUCGAAUGGAAAGGAUCCAUGCCAGGCUUCACUUUUCCUCCCCAUGCUGGUUCCAGUCCAGUGAACCGUCACAGUCCGGGAAUUUCUAGCUGCCAUGUCGUUUAAGAGAAACUCCAUCUUUGAUGACUGAUGGAAAACCCUCAUCACCCACCAUUGCUUAAAACACAUUAUCACCAGCCAUUUAUCAGUGACCACCUUUAUCAAAGCUCCAAGAUUGGAACCACAUUUGCCAUUUUCCGCUCUGCUGGUAUAGAUGCCUGAUUGGAAAAUACCUGAAAGAGAACCUAUGACAAUGGAGCAAUCUCUGUAGAUAAUUCUUCAGUAGCCUACCGUGUACUGACAACCUAGUCUGGACCAGAUGCCUUGAGGAUUUUCUAUUCCUUUUAUUGCACAUGAGAUGCACACUUUACGAUUGUUUCAAGACAACUUGUAUUUGUUGAAAAAAGAACUUUUCAUUUUUUAUGUUGGUCUUCGUCAUCCUAUAGGGACAUUUUUUUUGGUCACCUAAAUCACCCUAGGUGACAUAAUGAAAUUGGUAUCUGUCCUUUGUCAUCACCAUCCUGCAUUAACAACUGAAUAUUUUUAACUUGUUAAGAACUACUUGGCCAUUAUUUUUACAAAUGAUAUGUAAUUAAUUUAUAGGGUAAAGGGAACAUAAAUUGUAAAUUUCAUGACUCUUUCUCUACAUGGGCUCUACAGGCAGGGCCAAAACUGACAUGUUUAUUUCACCUGAGCUGAAAGCUCAAGUGAGCUAUUCUGAUUACAUUUGUGAUUUGUCUGUUGACUGUCUGAGUGUAAACUUUUCACAUUUUCAAUAUCUUCUCAAAAACCAUUGGGCCAUUCAACCAAACUUGGCAGAAAGCAUCCUUAGGCUGAGGGGAUUCAAAGUUGUGAAAAUUAAGGAGCACUUCCUUUUACAAGGGAAGAUAAUUAGGAGUUAUUGAAAAUUUUCUCAAGAAUUUUUCAAAAAUCUUACCAGAAACCAUUAGGCCAAGAAAGCUGAAACUUGUGUAGAUUCAAGUUUAUUCAAAUCAUGAUCCCUUUGGGUAGGAUGUAGACCAAGAAUCCCUUUACCAAAACUAUCCCCGUGUUAGGGUUUCUGACUCCGGGGUGGGUCACAAUGGUCAUAUACUGUAAACAAACUUGUUUAAUCCAUAUGAAAGACACUACUAGCUGUGAUGAAACUUUUUAUCUUAUAAAAAGGAUUAAGACUUGUCAGUACUGUUUGAUAGUCAAAUCAAUAUUUUUAUUCAUUAUUCAUAUAGAAGUAUAAUAUAAACAGCACUUACUUGACACAAUGAUAUCUUAUUAAUAAGACCAAAACUGUGCAUGAUAAUAUUAUAAUGGCCUAUCGGCCUCAUGUAGCUGUUGAAAAUGAAUGAACACUGAAUGUAUUCAUAGGAAGAGUAAUAAGCUGUCUUGGAAUUGUAUGUGCUUAUUUAAAAAGAUCUUAAAAAUAUUUAGGCAAAUAAAGGGUGACAUCAUU